rnacentral:rRNA from 1 species
UACGUAGGGGGCAAGCGUUGUCCGGAAUCAUUGGGCGUAAAGCGCGCGUAGGCGGUUACGUAAGUCUGCUGUGAAAGUCGGAGGCUCAACCUUCGAAAGCCGGUGGAUACUGCGUGACUAGAGUACGGAAGAGGAGAGUGGAAUUCCUGGUGUAGCGGUGAAAUGCGCAGAUAUCAGGAGGAACACCAACGGCGAAGGCAGCUCUCUGGGACGUUACUGACGCUGAGACGCGAAAGCGUGGGGAGCAAACAGG